UGUCGAAACUCCCCCAUUGUGGGGAGUCUGACGGGGACGGCCUACCGUCACUGAUGAGACAGGCCACA
rnacentral:hammerhead_ribozyme from 1 species